rnacentral:tRNA from 1 species
GCUGGGGUGGCCGAACCCGGUAAGGCGCAGGUUUGCUAAACCUGUCCCGCAAGGGAUUAUGAGUUCAAAUCUCAUCCCCAGCG